UACGUAGGGGGCGAGCGUUGUCCGGAAUUAUUGGGCGUAAAGAGCUCGUAGGCGGUUUGUCGCGUCUGCUGUGAAAUCCCGAGGCUCAACCUCGGGUCUGCAGUCGAUACGGGCAAACUAGAGUAUUGCAGGGGAGACUGGAAUUCCUGGUGUAGCGGUGAAAUGCGCAGAUAUCAGGAGGAACACCGGUGGCGAAGGCGGGUCUCUGGGCAGUAACUGACGCUGAGGAGCGAAAGCGUGGGGAGCGAACAGG
rnacentral:rRNA from 1 species